rnacentral:sRNA from 1 species
AAUCGAAGUAACCAAAAUAAAUAUGGAAC